GUACUCAUUUCAGCAGCACAUACACUAAAAUUGGAAGCAUAGAGAAGAUUAGAACAGCCCCUGAACAAGGAUGACAUGCAAGCUCUUGGAACAAGCCCUUUGUUU
ensembl:snRNA U6 U6 spliceosomal RNA